rnacentral:rRNA from 1 species
AGAGUUUGAUCCUGGCUCAGGAUGAACGCUGGCGGUCUGCUUAACACAUGCAAGUCGAACGGAAGUAGCAAUACUUUAGUGGCGGACGGGUGAGUAACGCGUGAGAAUCUACCUUCAGGACGGAGACAACAGUUGGAAACGACUGCUAACCCCCGAUGUACCGCAAGGGCAAAUAUUUAUAGCCUGAAGAAGAGCUCGCGUCCGAUUAGCUAGUUGGGGGGGUAAAAGCCCACCAAGGCGACGAUCGGUAGCUGGUCUGAGAGGACGAUCAGCCACACUGGGACUGAGACACGGCCCAGACUCCUACGGGAGGCAGCAGUGGGGAAUUUUCCGCAAUGGGCGCAAGCCUGACGGAGCAAGACCGCGUGAGGGAAGAAGGUCUGUGGAUUGUAAACCUCUUUUGAUCGGGAAGAAGACAGUGACGGUACCGAUCGAAUCAGCUCCGACCCCCC